UACGUAGGGUGCAAGCGUUAAUCGGAAUUACUGGGCGUAAAGCGUGCGCAGGCGGUCUUGCAAGACAGAUGUGAAAUCCCCGGGCUUAACCUGGGAACUGCAUUUGUGACUGCAAGGCUGGAGUGCGGCAGAGGGGGAUGGAAUUCCGCGUGUAGCAGUGAAAUGCGUAGAGAUGCGGAGGAACACCGAUGGCGAAGGCAGCCCCCUGGGCUAGCACUGACGCUCAGGCACGAAAGCGUGGGGAGCAAACAGG
rnacentral:rRNA from 1 species